CAGCGCACCUCCUCAGCCUCCUCUCCUCUGAUCUUUCAUCCACCCGUUACAUGGCAGUGUUUCCCCAGGAGUUGGCUUGGCCCCUUUCUCUUGGGUCAUGCUGUCACCCAGGCUGGAGUACAGUGGUGUGAUCACAGCUCACCGCAGCCUCGACCUCCCAUGCUCAAGCCAUCCUCCCACCUCAACCUCCUGAGUUACUGGGAAUACAGGCUCCACGAGCAGAUGGGCAGAUGAAUAGAAGAGCAGAGGAGGAGAAGAACAACGUGGCAGAGAAGGAGAGAGAAGGAGCAUCUGAACGUUGAGAGGAGUUUGGCCGGGGAUGGUCAGACAGUUGAUCAUCCACAGCACAGCGAAACUCUAUGGGGAAGAUCAUCUUCACACUCCAUCCCCUUUCCAGUUCCCCAUCCAUUCCAAUGACAGCUACCUCCAUCGCCCAAUAAAAUCCCCACAUUCACC
rnacentral:lncRNA from 1 species